GUGAACCCGGGAGGCAGAGCUUGCAGUGAGCCGAGAUCGCUCCACGGCACUCCAGCUUGGGCAACAGAGCGAGACUCCAUCUUAAAAAAAAAAAAAAAAAGAAACAUCAGUGGAAGAGGAAGAAACUGCAGGUACAGGAAUAAACUUACGUGAUCCUCAUUUCAAGGAGAAGAAGGAGAAGUUGAAGAAGGAGGAGAAGGAGAAGGAUGAGAAGAAAAACAAGAAGAGGAAGGAGAAGGAGGAGGAAAAUGAGAAGGAGAAGAAGAGAAGGAACAGCAGCAGUUGCAGGAGGAGGAGAAAGAGGAGGAGGAGGAGGAGGGAGUGUGCAGAAGCUGGGGGGGAUUCCAAUGUUGGAAGCAUUUUUAGCGUACAACAACAUCCAAGUGGAUUACUAUGAAUGCCUAGACCUCUAUGGCAAACAGUACUUAUACUAUUAUGAAAUGGUCAA
rnacentral:lncRNA from 10 species